rnacentral:lncRNA from 1 species
UUGGUGUUUUUACUGUCUUCUGAUUGGUUAAAAUUAUUAGUUUUAUUUUCAAUGUUGUCAAUUUUGAUGGCGACACGCCCACUCUGACGUUGUGUAUUCAUACGCCAACAUGUGUGUACGUUGUUAUUGAUAAUAUGAAUAAUAUAAAAAGUUCUUUGAGCCUUAUUUUUGAUAUAAAUUUAUUUAUAAUGAAUGGCAAUAAUUUAUUUUGAUUUUAUUGAACCAUAAAACUAAUUUUUGACUCUUCACAUUUUACAUAAUCCGCUUCGCGGAUUAUUCAAUGUGAAGAGUCAAAAAUUAGUUUUAUGGUUCAAUAAAAUCAAAAUAGAUAAUAGCCAUUCAUUAAUCAUCUCAACGAGAUUGAUUUUCUCGCUUGAGCCGGGACGGCGAAAGCGAGAAAUGCAAUCGAGUUGAGAUGACCAAUGAUAAUCUAUUUAUCGCUAUUUUACCUAUGACGACGUUGUCAAUUUCAUGUCAAUUUCGUUAGCAACGCCACGUGCCUCCUUAGUUUCUAGCGAUAACUUCCCAACUCAAGCGAGU